rnacentral:lncRNA from 1 species
CUCUGAGAAGGAGGAGAAAGAUAUUGAGGACAUUGAAGAAAAUACUAGACCUAAAAGAAGCAGACCUACAUCGUUUGCAGAUGAGCUGGCUGCCCGCAUCAAGGGGGAUGCCGUGGGCCGAGUGGACGAGGAGCCGACAACCUUACCCUCAGGAGAAGCAAAACUUCGGAAGACACUCAAGAGAAGAAGGAAAGGAGAACUCCUUCGGACGAUGAAGAGGAUAACUUAUUCGCACCCC